GGGUCUCGCCUCAGCGGCUGCGGGGGCCGGGCGGGGAUGGCGCCGUCUCCCGUCUCCCGUCUCCCGUCUCCCGUCUCCCGUCUCCCGUCUCCCGUCUCCCGUCUCCCGUCUCCCGUCUCCCGCCUGCCCGGCCCUGCAAGGGAAUGUUCCAAGGAAAGAGCGAAAGUCUAUGAAUGACUGGAAAAAGUAAGAGAUGGAAAGGAGAACACUUGGAGCCUCUGGCUUGGAGAAAAGAAAGGGUAAUGUAUGCAUGCAUCUGACAAAUUAUUCCAUUAACAAGAACAGAGUUAAUUCUGCCAGAGAAAAAGACAUUGCAAGUAAGAGGUAAAAGGAGAGAACAUUUCUGAGCUACUCCCAGAGGGGGUGGUGUUUACCUUUUCUUGUACAUCUUCAGAUGCUCAACAUCAGUCUUCAAAGCAUUUCUUUGUGUUUCCCCAAUGCACUGUCUUGCUGUUGAAUAAAUCGAGUGAAGAAACUCAGGUGAGAAGCAGAGCUGGACACCAAAAUUGGGAAGAAAACACCACAGAGGGAAGCUUGUGCUCCAGCUCAACAGCAUGCAUUUCAGUUUUUGUCUUGAGACGAACUGCUUGCCUGCUUUUCCUAGGGACACUGGUUUGUCUAACAAGAUGUUACCACUCUCCAAACUUUGCCUGUAAUCUUAGCCCAUCAUGCUGCAACAACUCUACAUCCUCACUGUAUUUGUUUUCUUUGUCAGCUGUGGUAGGCAGUUUUAUAGUAGUUUACUUAGACAUAUAUUUUCCCAUUGUGAGCAUUUCUCUUGCCAUAUUCCUUCUAUCUUCUUUUCUUGUGAAUAAACCAGCUGCAGUGCUGUGAUUGUGCAAAGCAACAACUCUUAAUGAAAUGAUCCACAAGUCAAGUGCAGGAACAGGCUGCCCAGGGCAGAGAUGGAGUCACCAUCCCUGGAGGGGUUGAAAAGAUGUGUACAUGUGGGCUUGGGGACAUGGGUUAGUGGUGGCCUUGACAGUGCUGGCUUAACAGCUGGACUUGAUCUUAAAAGGACUUUUUCAGCCUAAGCAAUUCUAUGACUCUAUGUGGUUUUUUCUUUACACUUUGCUUCCUAAAUCCUUUCUCAUGCUAGGAAAUGGGAUUGCUCUAAAGCAGUAAUUGAGCAAUUGAAGUUUCCACGCAUGAACACAGUUAUAAUGAUAUAAAGAAGCUGUAGACUGAUUGAGCUGUUGCAAUAUCAGGGUAGAAAUACACCACUUCAGUUAGAUUUGUUUAUUAUCAAAGGUUCCAGUAUUCCUCCCUUUCCAGGACACCUUCCACUUUUAACAGCUGUGUGCAGAGAUGUAGCUAUGAUAGCAGCCAGAUGUGGCUGCUUUUAGCAGAUGUUAUUAUCAAACUGGGGAUAACAGCACAUGCUAUUAUGAAACAUAACUGUCACAUCUGCUCCCCCAUUACACCAGGGCAGUGCUCGCUUUGAAAUAUGUGGGUUUGGUAUUAUCUUGGAUCACAAAUCCAAGCCCCAGUUGCUUGAGGACCCCGAUAAAAGUCUCUCCUUAAUCCUGCAACGUGGUCAUGGAUUAACUGGUCUGUUGAGGGGGGUUUUCAGCCUGUGGGUCGCUACG